AAAAUAUUCUGUUAGAAGUGGAAGUUGUUUUGUAGAUGCUUUACAAUGUAUGGAUAUAAUUAAAAAAAUAUUGAAAAUAUAAAGAUAAAAUAUGGGCUGCAAGGAGAAGAAUAUUGAAUUUUUAUUUAAAGAUAGAAAAAAGUAUAUGUAUAUUAUUUGAGUAGUAUGUUUUACUAUGAGGAAACUACGUGCAUACUACAUACAUAAGUAUGUAUAAUUAUUUAUAUACGUAAUAGGUACAUGUAUAGGCUCUUUUCGAAUACUAGAAUUAUUCAAUUUGGAAUUAUAUAGUUGAAUAUGGAAUCUUAAAUAAACGAAAUUCAUUGAAUUUCUUGUGCAAAUCAACAUUUGCAACCAGCUGUGAAAAAUAUGAAAUAAUGGCAGAAAAAUGUUUUCUUAGGAGUUGGAGUUGUUAGGAUCCCAACUUUCAGGAAUUAUUCAUAUGACGUUUCAUAUAUUAAACCUAAGGCUUUUAUGGGAACAGUAAUCGAAAUAAAAUUUGUCAGAUCGAAACAUAAAUUAAAAUGCUUGCAGUUGCAAGCUGAGUUACGUUUUUUGAAACUUGUUUCCUGGAGUUUAUAUUUUCAUACUGGGCUACGUUAUGUACAAAUGCACAAUUUAAUUAGCUUUACAUAAGAAUAAAAUAUAUGAAAUAUGAAAAACUGCAAUUAAGUAAAAGUGAGUCGCGUACACUUAGCCCAGGUUUGAGAAAACUACACGAAAAAUGCCCAAUAUGCAUUAGAAAAACAGCUCUCACGGCACUAAAGUACACCUUCCAAGACAAACGACCUCUUUCAAAAAUAUGGCUACUUUCAUAAAAAAAAAAAGCAACAUUAAUAAAAAAAAAUUCCAAUAGGCGACUCAAUAAAUUAAAGUAUAUUGGCCACAGACAAAGGACAUGUUUAUAAAUUGUAUAUGGAACUGGAUAAGGUUUUGGUACUGGAAUUUCAAUUUUUUUAACAACUUCAACUGGAUAUGGUUUUUCAAUUUCAACUGGAUAUGGUUUUUCAACUGUUAUUGGAAUUUUCUUUUCAAUAAUUUCUGGUACUACUUUAUAAACUGGAACUUCUACUUUUUCUUCAACUGGGACAUGAACCUGAAAUUCGUAAUUAAUAUGUAAUUAUAUAACAUAUAGAAUUUAAUAAUAUAAACAUACGGAUGUGGAAUAGUGAUUUUAUAAUAAUUUGGUACAGCAACUGGCACAGGAUGUGGAAUUGGUAAACCAACUUUCUCAUAAACUGGUACAGGA